GUAAAAUCGGCGGGCACACUGCGUCUCUACAUUAAUCGCAGCCAACUUCAUUUGCUUCACUUUUACAUAAAACGUGGAGGAAGCAUCACAUCUUACCAAAAACACAAAUUAAUUAAAAUGUGAUCCAGUAAAUAUUUAGUGCUGCGUUAAUACGUUGGCACAUGUGAAUUGAAACAAAAAGGAGUAAAUAUCACCAACCACGUGGUUUUCGGACAAAAGAUCAAACUGGUCUGUUGUCCAGACUUUGGGUAUGACGCUCAGUCAGCAUGGAGGUCUAUUGAUCCGCAAAUUAAAAUGCGAGGAAUAAUCGGUUGAUUUGAUCAUCCAAUUCCAAAAUUGGUCCAAAAACCCAUUUCAAAAGUUCAGUAUAAAUGGAUUUAAAUAUUUGAUGAGCCAUUUUGUACCACUUCAUUAAAAAGGCUUUUAAUGGUACGUGAAAACUCGAUGAAGCAGAAUAAUUCUUAAAAGAAUUGUGAAAUAAGGGUCUGGAAUCUUCGCAGAAAACUAUUUGUUAACCCCAUACAUUGAAUAAAAAUCACAAUUUUAAAUGCUAAAAA